rnacentral:rRNA from 1 species
GGGGGGGGACGCAGGGAGCUAGGUCCGGGGGUCUAUACGACCCUCUAACGUGGUAGGGAGUCCUGACAGGCAAAUCCGUUGGGGCGAUGACCGAGAGCGGAGUGGAAGGUACGGCCUGCGGGCCAAGCCGGACGGAUUGACGCUGCACUGACGAGAAAAGCCUCUAGUGAGUAUAUGUGCGCCCGUACCGCAAACCGACACAGGUGGGCUGGUAGAGCAUACCGAGGUGGACGAGAGAACCCUUGUUAAGGAACUCGGCAAAUUGGCUCCGUAACUUCGGGAGAAGGAGCGCCCUGGUAGUGUGAAGGACUUCGCGUCCGGAGCAUGAGGGGGCCGCAGUGACCAGGCCCAGGCGACUGUUUACCAAAAACACCGGUCCCUGCAAACGCGAAUGAGCGUGGACGUAUAGGGGCUGAGACCUGCCCAGUGCCGGAAGGUUAAAGGGAGAUGUGCAAGCGUUGAACUGAAGCCCCGGUAAACGGCGGCCGUAACUAUAACGGUCCUAAGGUAGCGAAAUUCCUUGUCGGGUAAGUUCCGACCCGCACGAAAGGUAGAACGAUCUGGGCGCUGUCUCAACAGGGGACUCGGCGAAAUUGAAAGACCGGUGAAGAUACCGGUGACCCGCAGCAGGACAAAAAGACCUCGUGCAGCUUUACUCCAGCUUGUCGUUGGGUGCGUGAUUCGUUUGUGCAGGAUAGGUGGGAGCCUGGGAGCCGUUGGCGUCAGCGAGCGGGGAGGCGUUGGUGAGAUACCACCCUGACGGAUUGUGCAUUCUCACCCGGGCCAGAUAGCCUGGCAGGGGACAGCGGCUGGUGGGGAGUUUGACUGGGGCGGUCGCCUCCUAAAGAGUAACGGAGGCGCCCAAUGGUUCCCUCAGGCCGGAUGGCAAUCGGCCGGAGCGCGUAAGGGCAAAAAGGGAGCUUGACUGCGAGGCUGACACGCCGAGCAGUGACGAAAGUCGGGCCUAGUGAUCCCACGGUACCGAGUGGAAGAGCCGUGGCUUAACGGAUAAAAGCUACGCCGGGGAUAACAGGCUGAUCCUGCCCAAGAGCUCACAUCGACGGCAGGGUUUGGCACCUCGGUCGGCUCGUCGCAUCCUGGGGUCGGAGAAGGUCCCAAGGGUUGGGCUGUUCGCCCACUAAAGCGGUACGCGAGCUAGGUUCAGAACGUUGUGAGACAGUUCGGUCUCUAUCCGCUGUGGGCGUAGGAUGUUUGCGAGGGGCUGCCCCUAGUACGAGAGGACCGGGGUGGACGAACCGCUGGUGAGCCAGUUGUUGUGACAACAGCAUCGCUGGGUAGCUACGUUCGGACGAGCGAACCGCUGAAGGCAUCUAAGCGGGAAUCUUUCCUCAAGACGAGACAUCCCUGGAGCUUCGGCUCUGAGAGACCCCCAGGAGACCACUGGGUAGAUAGGUCGCGGGUGGACAGCUGGUAACAGACUGGAGCCGAGCGAUCCUAAUGGUUGAUAGA